GAUGAACGCUAGCGGCAGGCCUAAUACAUGCAAGUCGAACGAUACCAGAGAGCUUGCUUUCUGGGAAAGUGGCGCACGGGUGCGUAACGCGUAUGCAACCUACCUUAAUCAGGGGGAUAGCCUCUCGAAAGAGAGAUUAACACCGCAUAAUAUCAUUUUACGGCAUCGUAGAAUGAUCAAAUAUUUAUAGGAUUAAGAUGGGCAUGCGUGACAUUAGCUAGUUGGUGAGGUAACGGCUCACCAAGGCUACGAUGUCUAGGGGAUCUGAGAGGAUGACCCCCCACACUGGUACUGAGACACGGACCAGACUCCUACGGGAGGCAGCAGUAAGGAAUAUUGGUCAAUGGAGGCAACUCUGAACCAGCCAUGCCGCGUGCAGGAAGACGGCCCUAUGGGUUGUAAACUGCUUUUAUACGGGAAUAAACCUCUCUACGUGUAGGGAGUUGAAUGUACUGUAAGAAUAAGGAUCGGCUAACUCCGUGCCAGCCGCCGCGGUAAGAC
rnacentral:rRNA from 1 species